rnacentral:rRNA from 1 species
AUGAAGCCCAGCUUGCUGGGUGGAUUAGUGGCGAACGGGUGAGUAACACGUGAGCAACCUGCCCCUGACUCUGGGAUAACAGCCGGAAACGGUUGCUAAUACCGGAUAUGCAUCAUGGCCGCAUGGUCUGUGGUGGGAAAGAUUUUUCGGUUGGGGAUGGGCUCGCGGCCUAUCAGCUUGUUGGUGAGGUAGUGGCUCACCAAGGCGUCGACGGGUAGCCGGCCUGAGAGGGUGACCGGCCACACUGGGACUGAGACACGGCCCAGACUCCUACGGGAGGCAGCAGUGGGGAAUAUUGCACAAUGGGCGGAAGCCUGAUGCAGCAACGCCGCGUGAGGGAUGACGGCCUUCGGGUUGUAAACCUCUUUUAGCAGGGAAGAAGCGAAAGUGACGGUACCUGCAGAAAAAGCGCCGGCUAACUACGUGCCAGCAGCCGCGGUAAUACGUAGGGCGCAAGCGUUAUCCGGAAUUAUUGGGCGUAAAGAGCUCGUAGGCGGUUUGUCGCGUCUGCUGUGAAAACCCGAGGCUCAACCUCGGGCCUGCAGUGGGUACGGGCAGACUAGAGUGCGGUAGGGGAGAUUGGAAUUCCUGGUGUAGCGGUGGAAUGCGCAGAUAUCAGGAGGAACACCGAUGGCGAAGGCAGAUCUCUGGGCCGUUACUGACGCUGAGGAGCGAAAGGGUGGGGAGCAAACAGGCUUAGAUACCCUGGUAGUCCACCCCGUAAACGUUGGGAACUAGUUGUGGGGGCCUUUCCACGGUCUCCGUGACGCAGCUAACGCAUUAAGUUCCCCGCCUGGGGAGUACGGCCGCAAGGCUAAAAC